CUACGGUGCAUGCCAUCUGCCAGCAAUUGGAGGGGAUGAAAAAUCUCGUGUUCUGGGUGUCGCUGGCUGUCUGUACGUGUGGGCUGAACGCAGACUUGGUUGCCCAUUUACACCCUCCGUAUCAAGAAAUUCCUGACACUCCCUGUGUUUUUCCAUUUAUUUACGGUGAUGUUACCCACUAUAAUUGCAUCUCCGUCCACAGCGACUUUCUUUGGUGUUCUCUGGACAGUCAUUUCCAAGGCAGGUGGCGGUACUGCAAGGCUUUGGAUCCUCCCGAGUGUUCCUUCCCCUUCUUAUUCAGAAAGAAGUUCAUUUACAAAUGUACGAAGGACGGCUAUAUUCUGGAUCGGAGUUGGUGUUCAUUGACAAAAAAUUACAACAAAGAUGGAAAGUGGAAGCAAUGUUCUCCUCAGAAGUAAGAUGCUUGGGACAUAAUGGGGUGGAAAGUUCACAGCUCUCUGGAAGCAGGGAACCCUCUGGAUUACUGCAGGUGGUAGCUUGAGCGAUUAGAUUUCUUGGUGUUCUUGAAGAGUCAGAAGUUAUAGACUCAUCAGCUGCCUCUCAAGAUACACUUCUAUCCUUUCCAUUUAUGACCAUUCUUAUCAAUAAAUAUUUGACCACUUUUC